GUGGGGAAUAUUGGGCAAUGGGGGAAACCCUGACCCAGCGACGCCGCGUGAGGGAAGAAGGCCUUAGGGUCGUAAACCUCUGUUGUGUGGGAAGAAGAGCGUGACGGUACCACACGAGGAAGUCCCGGCUAACUACGUGCCAGCAGCCGCGGUAAUACGUAGGGGACGAGCGUUGUCCGGAUUUACUGGGCGUAAAGGGCGCGUAGGCGGUCAUUUAAGUCAGCUGUGAAAUGGUGCGGCUUAACCGCAUCAUGCGGUUGAAACUGGAUGACUGGAGUGCUGGAGAGGCAAGUGGAAUUCCCAGUGUAGCGGUGAAAUGCGUAGAUAUUGGGAAGAACACCGGUGGCGAAGGCGACUUGCUGGCCAGCAACUGACGCUGAGGCGCGAAAGCCAGGGGAGCAAACGGGAUUAGAUACCCUGGUAGUCC
rnacentral:rRNA from 1 species